AAGAGCUGCACGAUGGCAUCUAGCUUAGAGGUUCUUCUGCUCCUUUCUGCAGGUUUAUUGACGGUAAAAGCUGGUUUAGUUGAGGACUGUGAGGGCUACUAUACCAUCAAUAACAAGUACAAGCCUGGGUUUAAAUGCUAUUUGCAGUACUGCUGUGGAAACUGGCGGAAUUCUGGAAUUCCAAAAAUGAAGAAACAGUGAAGCACUUUCCAUUGUCUUAAUAAUACUGGGGGUUAUAUUCAGCAUUAUUAUGCACAUCAUCUGCUGCUUCUGCCCCUGCUGGUUUAUCUAUAAAAUGUACAAAAAACGCAGAGCUGUGGCAGCAACGCAAGUAACUACAGUCACAAAUACAAAUUUAAUUCAGCAGCAGUCUGCAAUGCAGGCGGCCCAGUACCCACAAUACCAACCAGUGCCGACUGAACCAGGUUACGGUGGUCAGCCAAUGCAGAUGGGACCAUACAAUGGACAGCCAUGUGCACCAGGACCCCCACCCUCAUAUCAAGUGGCCCCGGGUCCUGGAUAUCCCACUAGUCAGAGUGCAUAUGACGGAGGCCAGGCUACGUACCCCAUGCAACCACCUUCCCAGUCAUGUGUGGCUAAUGUGCCUUCAGAGACAUCGAGUCAGCCGGCCUGCAACCCUACUUACGUGCAGUCACCAAACACUGGUUACUAAACCACAACCAUCUGUCAAAUAAGUUACUGCUGGAUUGUGGAGGUUGACACACUUUCACGAGGCAGUAAGAAUGUGUCUAAUUCAACUAUUCAAGACUAUUGGAUGUGCUAUAGUCUUUCAGAGUUCUUAGAGUCUUUUUACUUUCACUUUCUUUCAGUUUCGUUUUUGCUCUGUGACACACAGGAACAAUACUUUUGGGAAUUGUAAAUAAAACAAAGAUUGCUACAGUAAGUUUUAGAAUAAAAUACCAUUUCAGUCUUUCUGCUUUCAACAAGCAGUGAGUGAAAAUUGUUUCAAUACAAUAUUUUUUUAAAUGCAGUUUUAGUUUUAUUGUUUUCUAUUUUUAGUAUUAUUCUAGUAUUGUUAUUUUUUAACUGUACUGACACGCAACAAAAAAAUGAAUAUAGUUUUGGUAUACGUAAAUUUGUUACUGAGUUUUUGAUAUUUCAUACAACAGCGUAAUACUCACAGAAAUAUAAAUGUAUUCGUUUUUACUUUUUAAAUAGCAGGAACAGUGAUUCCAUUUAUAGAAUGUGUCAAAUUUUCCAUUUUGGCUUUUGAAAAACAAUGAGCAUCACAAAAUUUUCACAGUUACGUCGUGACUCCCACUGACUUUCUGUACCAACUUUUAAGCACAGAAUGGCUUUUAAGGUAGUAAAAAGGGUUACAUUUUUGAUAAAGCAAACUUUGUUAAGCAUUAGGAAACCACUGCCUUUGCAGAUCCUUUUCAGAUUGUAUUAUAUUGUUUCAGGUGACAUGAUGCAGCCUGUUUGUUAAUUGUCUUUACAUAUUGUAACUUGUGUUUUAUUUUUUUAUGUGUGUAACAAGAGAAAAAGGGGAGCUAAAAAGGGCUUAUAGGAGAACACCAAAGAUGUGAAACUCAAAGAGUUUGGACUUUUAUGCAAUGUUUGGUGAACUUGCAGAACUUGAAUGUAUAUGGGGCCCCCUAUGGUGAAA